UACGAAGGGUGCAAACGUUGCUCGGAAUCAUUGGGCGUAAAGCGCACGUAGGCGGCUUCUUAAGUCGGAUGUGAAAUCCCUCGGCUCAACCGAGGACGUGCAUUCGAAACUGGGAAGCUCGAGUAUGGAAGAGGGUCGCGGAAUUCUCGGUGUAGAGGUGAAAUACGUAGAUAUCGGGAGGAACACCAGUGGCGAAGGCGGCGACCUGGGCCAAUACUGACGCUGAGGUGCGAAAGCGUGGGUAGCAAACAGG
rnacentral:rRNA from 1 species